CAGCCGCCGCGGGAAUACGGAGGGUGCAAGCGUUAAUCGGAAUUACUGGGCGUAAAGCGCACGCAGGCGGUUUGUUAAGUCAGAUGUGAAAUCCCCGAGCUUAACUUGGGAACUGCAUUUGAAACUGGCAAGCUAGAGUCUUGUAGAGGGGGGUAGAAUUCCAGGUGUAGCGGUGAAAUGCGUAGAGAUCUGGAGGAAUACCGGUGGCGAAGGCGGCCCCCUGGACAAAGACUGACGCUCAGGUGCGAAAGCGUGGGGAGUAAACAGGAUUAGAUACCCCAGUAGUCCCUGUCUCUUAUAA
rnacentral:rRNA from 1 species